AGAUGAAGCAGCUUGCAUGCCAGCAGGUGUGUUGACCUGCACGCGAGGCAUACACAGCCAUGGAUCCUGCUGUCACACAUUCACCACACUACCAAGAGAAGAAGGGAUCAUCCAAUCAAGCACCAGUGAUCAUGCCAACAAACAGACGAGCAAGGGAGCGCCAGCGACGACCUGGAUAAACGCACGGAGUUCAAGUUGGUAAUACUGAUCUGUAAGACUGUAUUUACAUAAUAUAACCCCCCUGCGUGAUCACUAACUGACUACUGAUGAGGCCAUUAAUGCCCGCUUAAAUCCAAGCAAUGUCAUAUUGCUAUACAAUUAAUGAACGAACAGGAAGUCACUUUAGGGCACUACGGCUUUUUCCACUAGCCUGACGUGCGAUAAGUUCUUAGGCGUGAUGAAUACCGACGAAGGCGUCAAGAGGGUCUCCUUACUCGAGUGAGGGAUUUUACAUAGAGCUCUUGUUAACUUCUUAUCAGCGUUCUUGUGUGCGCUCUUGUAAUCAUAAGGGAGGAGUUGGAAGGAUAACUUGUCAAUUUGCAUUGACUUUCACAACAAAACCUGGAUUACCUUGGUAAGAUUAGCCACUAGUGUGGAACUAACCGCUGUGCGCUUACAAAAACGUCAGUGUACCCUUUGUCUUGUUGGCUUGUUAAUUAAAUCUCGAAUGUCCUUAGAGGUGAAUGGGCGCAUUGUUGGCAAGGUAGAUGUGUCAAGUUUGUUUGAUGAAAGAGUCAAAAGCCAAAGCAAACAUUUCCACUUGUAAAAGGGUUUGACUCGUGGGAACAAAUGAGAAAGACUAGCUUGUCAAUAACUGCUUCCUUAGUAAGACAAGCACGUCCAAGAAAAGUCCUAGAGAUUUAUUCCCCUAAUUGAUAUCUAAUUAAAAAUAAUGCGGAUAUUCGUGGUUUCCUUUGUAUGUAAUUAAAAUCAUUUAUUUAAUAAUUGGAGUAAAAAUUAUGUAUUUUUGUUGACAAAAAUUACUCAUGAGAAACUCGGUUUACAUGAAAGUAUAUAUACUUACAGUACUUACAUGUAGUUUCAAGCGAAUUGGACGAAUGUUGUUGGAGUAAAUAUGCAUUUUCUCAAGAAAGCCACUAAUGCGAGCUUGGAAGGAAAGGAUGCUUUGAAUUUUUAAAAACAAGAAUUUGUUGUGCUUAUUUAAAAAUAAACACAAUCAGCAAUCUAUGUGUUUUACGGAUGGCCCUUGGGGGGGUCAAGAGGGUGCUUGUUUUUUUUUUUUCUCUUUUAAAUCUAAACGUCAUCAACACAGCAACCGCGAAAAACGAUCACUUAUGAUCGAUUACAAGCUCGUUUCUGUGAGCCCGCAUACGUGUCCACCGAUGAAGUGGCCUAGCGACGGCUUACGCGAAAACAGGACGACUUGUUUUAGACCUCUGUUCUGGUAAGUUCUGGUAUCUUUUGCGAGAUUGUUACGGAUUAUCAUUUAUAUCCUCAUUAACAUAACUUCACUUGCCUUAUUUCGACGAGAGAAAAGCAAGAAGGUUGAAUAAACUUGAAAACUUACAAGCCGUGUAGAUGAGAAACUUCUGAAACUGAACCGCCAUGUUGUUUGUCACUCCGAGACCCUGGGAACUAGUUUUAUGGAUUCUUAAUUUGACACAGGAAUCCCAAUGAAAGAAUUCGGAGUAAACGUCAUUCAGCUUGGUUUAUUCCUUAAACCUUUAACGUUAAAAUGUUAUUUAAAUAAAACAGGAGAUAUGUUAAAA